AGGAAUCACUUAGCCAAUGUUUGGCAAGAAAGAAAGUAGAGAAAGAAAAAUUAACAUUUCAAACAUAAAACAUGAAGAUAGUAUUCAAAACCAUCUGUUUAGAGAGUCUAAUCCAACAGCCAGACUUGGUUGGGUGGGUGUUUUCCAUCCAUUUUCUUAACAAACAAACAGAGGGUCGAAGACAAUUUAUUAAUCAGAGACAGAACGAAAGCAUCCAGAUUGCUUUAUGACAUUUAAAAAAAAAAAUAAAGAAAGAAAGAGAAAAGCAUACCCCUUUUCACAUAGGAAGGAACCUUUUUCCAAAAAAAUUCAAUCCAAGUUAAAGAUUUUAGUGGAGAAUAGCACCCAGUCUGAAAUAUCCCAAAAACCAGUCGGUCAAUCACAGAACCGAGACGGAAAGUCUUCCCACCAGAACACUCAUGUUUGAGAGAAGCACGAAAUUAUAAUUCCACUAUGGAAAUUAGAACACAACCCACGAACUCAAAACACUCCAUACUCGAGAAAGGCAAGAAACUUGGCCAAAAAAAGGAGAGACAGAGAGAAGGGCAAAACUAAGUCUUGAACAUGAAGUCAAACAAGACGGAACAAGCGAUAAAAGUAAAAAAAAAAAGAGGAAAAUCUCUCAUCCAGUCACCUUUAUAGCAGUUCUCAUUGACUUCACUUGGAAAAAAAAAACAAACCAAUAUUUUUAGCAGGAAAAGGACAGACAAGAGAGAAAAAAAUCAAAAUUUCUGGAGAAAACAGGAAAAUUUUAUCCAGUAAAGGAGUUGGAGAGGUGGAGGGAACAGAUGGAAUGGAGCCUUCGUGUGAAUUUGAAGAGAGGCCCUGAAAUCAGUAAAGGGUAAUAGAGAGAGUUAUAUAAGAUUUGACUGAUAGGGAGAGGAGACUCAGUAGACAACACAAAAUACAACGUUUGUGUAGUUGUGCAUUGUUUCUCUCUAUAUCUCUCUCUACCUAAGACCUCUCAUAGUUUACUUCGGCUGCCAUUUUGUUUAGUAUGUGACGCACCGCGGCCUUCCUUUCGUGUGGAUUGUCAUGUCAAUUAAAGCGUGCAUUAAUUUUAAUCUUCUCCAAACGACGUCACAUUAAACUCUUCUUUGCACACGUGUAUCACAAUUACUGUUGUCUGCAGCCAUUAAAAAAAUAUUCCCCAGAAAGCUCUCGAGAGAGUGGAUUUUCCUGCCGGCCAAACACUCCCGCUGCUCCACCUGCCCCCAUGAAACCUCAUCUCCUCAGCUAUCGAGGAAAUCUGUUCCCGCGGCACAAUUGGCCCCUCACUUUCAUCCCUCUAGUCUACCCUAACUACCACGCCUUCUGUCUCCCGCUAAGCCUCUCUCUGGUCCAACCCCAUUUAGACUCACAGACCCAAAAAUGGAGUGUUUUGAAGAAGUUGAGAAGCUCAAUUUGAAGAUCAUCUUAGGGAUUCCUGUGUUGGCAUAUGUGACACUCCUUCCUCCGGCAUUGGUCCUCUUCAGCAUCGCACUCUUGAGCGCCUGGCCAUCGUGAGAACAAAUGGAAUAACACAAAUCAACUUGCCGUGGAAUUCGGCAUUGAAGGGAACAACUUCUUUUAUAGAGUGAGGAACCUUGAAUGUCAACAAUUGAUUGUGAGACGACCGGUCAUUGCGAAGACGAAAGAAGCUGACUGUGAAAGGAAGACUAAGAACAGUUUGAUUGUAAAUACCAAUUUGAUAUAUCUACCCCGUUAUAAGAAGCAUUUAGGUGUUCAACAAAGAUUUGAGAUUAACAAAGAAGAACGCAAUUUGGGGGGUCCUGGGAAUGUAGAGGAAACUGAUGUAGGUGGAGAUGGUUUUGAGAGAGAGCCUUCUAAAGAUGAUGUACUUAUAAAGGAUUUUUUACCUGCAAUGAAGGCCAUUUGUGAUAAACUUGAGGAAGCUAAUGACA
rnacentral:misc_RNA from 1 species